rnacentral:RNase_P_RNA from 4 species
UCAGCGCGUCGAGUAGUAGCUCCGUGCCGAAAAGGUGCGGGGAGGAAAGUCCGAACACUCAGCCCAGUUUUACCGGGCAAAGGUAGUGGGUAACGCCCAUCGUGCGCUCUCUGCGGGCGCAAGAGGUGCGAACAGAGACGAGUCCCGCCGCAAGGCGGGGGUGAAACGGCUAAAUCCUUACCCGAGUGCAAGGCCGUGCCCGACACACUGCAAGUAUGUCGGGAGUGCCGCUCGAGCCUUGCAGUAAUGCAGGGCCCAGAUAAAUUACUGCUUAGUCUCGCCGAAGCUUCAGCGAAGGCGGACCCGCCUCCGCCAGGGCUAUGGCGCGGUAAAACAGAAUUCGGCUUACAGACGCGCGCGCAGA